UCCCAGACUCCUACGGGAGGCAGCAGUGGGGGAUAUUGCACAAUGGGGGGAACCCUGAUGCAGCGACGCCGCGUGGGUGAAGAAGCGCCUCGGCGCGUAAAGCCCUGUCAGCAGGGAAGAAAAUGACGGUACCUGAAGAAGAAGCCCUGGCUAACUACGUGCCAGCAGCCGCGGUAAUACGUAGGGGGCAAGCGUUAUCCGGAUUUACUGGGUGUAAAGGGGGCGCAGACGGCACGGCAAGCCGGCGGUCAAAUCGCGGGGCUCAACCCCGCCCAGCCGUCGGAACUGCCGGGCUAGAGUGGGCGAGAAGUGCGCGGAAUGCGUGGUGUAGCGGUGAAAUGCAUAGAUAUCACGCAGAACUCCGAUUGCGAAGGCAGCGCACCGGCGCCCUACUGACGCUCAGGCACGAAAGCGUGGGUAUCGAACAGGAUUAGAUACCCCAGUA
rnacentral:rRNA from 1 species